AUGUCCUGGGGGCUGAAGCUUAACUGCCACCCGAUUGGUGAGAUUACAGAGGAAAUGAGAGGACAGAGCAGGGGACCGAGAGCCAGGAUUUGUUCCUACCUGACGAGACACAGUUGCUCUGUGAAUUGUCAGACAUCAUUGCUUGGAAGCAGAAUGCCAUUCAUUUGGAUCGAGGGAAGAGUUUAUAUUGUUUCGCAGGUCACCGUCAAAGAUCACAGCUCUUGCGAGCAGCAGGUGUUGUACGGCUAAUGUACUUGUGUGAUAAACUUUCUCUUAGCCUUAUCUGACUCUGUAUUUGUCAAGUGAUGUUAAUUACGACUCUCCCCUGCUACGUCUUUCUCUGUUUCUCCCUCUCUGAGCUGUCACCUCUGUGUCAGUGGAUAUCCGUGAGUCUCAGCAUGCAGCGUCCAUUGGAGCUGAAUGCGCCCUCCCUCUCAGCCACUGGCCCACCAGCCGGCGCUGUCCUGACAUGACAGCCUAUUGUGUUUGUCCAGCCAGGCCGAAACCCCUGGCCGCAGGAAGGAAUUAAGAGAGGAUAGGAGGGGAGAAGUAAUUAUGUUUAGUCACUGAAUUCUGUAGAUCCCUGUGUUAAUUAUGCGAUUCACCACAAAACACUGUCAAGUCAAGUGAAAAGAGCAGGAAUGCCGGUGAGAGCGGAUCAGAACAUGACACCUCGGAGCCCCUGUGAGGUCAGGGCAGGACCGUGUGUUUGUAAGGGUAGGAUAAGCUGCUCACGUACACCAGGCUCCAAUUACAGGCUUGCUCGGCUCGUCUGGUUUGUCAGCAAUUUUUUCGCAAUUAAUAGGGCGUGAGAAUCUAUGUAUGCUGUAACGUGCGUCUGCUGCGUAAAGGGCACUGUACAAGAUGCAACCACUCUGCAGCACAUUUAACUAGAUGAGGACAUCCUGGUGCUCUCUGCAACAUGUUUUUAAGAGUCUCUGUAGUUCUAUAGACCAGGGGUUUUCAAAUUGUGGCCCAGGGAUCCACUGCAAGAAAUUCAAAGAGAAAAACAUCAGUGUGUAUAUAUAUGAAGUGUGUAUGUAUUUUUAUUAUUAUAUGUAAUUAAUAGAAUAUAUUACAAACUUAAUUAUAUCUAUAAUAUAUCGAAUUGUUAAAUAAUAUUUUUGUAAUAUUUUGUGUAUAUGUGUGUGUAGUUUUGCUUUAUUAUAUAAUAAAUACCUAUAUAAUAAUAAUUGAUGUGUUAUU
ensembl:lncRNA